GAUGAACGCUAGCGGCAGGCUUAAUACAUGCAAGUCGAGGGGUAGCAAGAUUGUAGCAAUACAAUUGUUGACGACCGGCAAACGGGUGCGGAACACGUACACAACCUUCCUACAAGUGGGGAAUAGCCCAGAGAAAUUUGGAUUAAUACCCCGUAACAUAGCGAUGUGGCAUCACAUUGCUAUUAUAGCUUCGGCGCUUGUUGAUGGGUGUGCGGCUGAUUAGAUAGUUGGCGGGGUAACGACCCACCAAGUCUACGAUCAGUAGCUGAUGUGAGGGCAUGAUCAGCCACACGGGCACUGAGACACGGGCCCGACUCCUACGGGAGGCAGCAGUAAGGAAUAUUGGACAAUGGACGCAAGUCUGAUCCAGCCAUGCCGCGUGAAGGAUUAAGGUCCUCUGGAUUGUAAACUUCUUUUAUAAGGGACGAAAAAAGGUCUUUCUAGAUCGUCUGACGGUACCUUAUGAAUAAGCACCGGCUAAUUCCGUGCCAGCAGCCGCCGCGGUAA
rnacentral:rRNA from 1 species